AGACGGGGGAUGCAAGCGUUAUUCGGAAUUAUUGGGCGUAAAGCGUCUGUAGGUGGUGAGAAAAGUGUUUUGUUAAAGUUCAGGGCUCAACCCUGUAAAAGCAGUACAAACUAUUUCACUUGAGUUCGGUAGAGGUAGAGAGAAUUCCCAGUGUAGCGGUGAAAUGCGUAGAUAUUGGGAGGAAGACCAGUGGCGAAAGCGUUCUACUGGGCCGUAACUGACACUCAGAGACGAAAGCUAAGGUAGCGAAUAGGAUUAGAUACCCUAGUAGUCUUAGCUGUAAACGAUGCACACUAUGUUUUGUAAUUUACAGAGCAAAAGCUAACGCGUUAAGUGUGCCGCCUGGGGAGUACACUCGCAAGGGUGAAACUCAAAGGAAUUGACGGGGACCCGCACAAGCGGUGGAGCAUGUGGUUUAAUUCGAUGCAACGCGAAGAACCUUACCAAGACUUGACAUGCUG
rnacentral:rRNA from 1 species